UAGGGAAUUGUUCGCAAUGGGCGCAAGCCUGACGACGCAACGCCGCGUGGAGGAUGAAGACCUUCGGGUCGUAAACUCCUUUCGACCGAGAUGAACACUUGCCGACCUAAUACGUCGGCGAGCUGACAGUAUCGAGGGAAGCAGCCCCGGCUAACUCCGUGCCAGCAGCCGCGGUAAUACGGGGGGGGCAAGCGUUGUUCGGAAUUACUGGGCGUAAAGGGUUCGUAGGUGGCCGACUAAGUCAGACGUGAAAUCCCUCAGCUUAACUGGGGAACUGCGUCUGAGACUGGCCGGCUUGAGUGCAGGAGAGGAACGCGGAAUUCCAGGUGUAGCGGUGAAAUGCGUAGAUAUCUGGAGGAACACCGGUGGCGAAGGCGGCGUUCUGGACUGCAACUGACACUGAACAACGAAAGCCAGGGGAGCAAACGGGAUUAGAUACCCGGGUAGUCC
rnacentral:rRNA from 1 species